rnacentral:lncRNA from 3 species
CUCGCAACGGUUGACGAGUUCAAACACCACCGCGCGCCGGCGCCGCCCACCCCGCCAUCUUCUCGACGAAGAGAUGCCGCCUCCGCCUCCGCCUCCGCUUCCGCUUCUACUCCGCCGCGCACCCCGCCCUUUGAUCGGGUGAGGCGCUCCGGUGGUCGCAGCGGGCGGGCAUGGCGCUCUCUGGAAGCUCCUUUUUCUCGGUUUGGGCUGCGCGCCGCGGGCGGCUGCCCGGUCGACGCGCUUCUGCGGGAGAAGUUCUUGGUACGGGAGGUGGUGACUGACGGAGAUUUAGGAGAUUGGGAUGUGGGUUUUGGUUGUCAUGAGGAAGAGUACGAACCAUUUUGGCAGAGGAUAGAUAUGGUCCUGGCAUCAUGCAACGUGCAACUGGAUUGUGGAUGA